rnacentral:lncRNA from 1 species
GUAUUUUCACAUGGCGAGUGGACGAGAAAAAAGAGCAUUCAUCCGCGUCCAUUUGUUUUACUCUAUGUUUCUCUUGGAGUUUCUCAAAACAACAAACUGAACUUCAGGUGAACAACAAUGUUCUUUUCUCUUUCUUACUGGGCGCACUGCAAAUGAUUUUCCAAAAAUUAUAUAAAAAUUAUUGAACUACACACCGAAGCACCCUAAAUGAAUUGCAUAGCCGCGACUUCAGCAGAUUGCACUUGAUAGUGAUCACCACCUCGGAUCCCACGGAUCGACAAAUCCGGACCCGAAGACAGGCAUAGGAUCCCGGGGGAGCCUCUGUUUUUCGUAUGCACCAUGCUGGACCUCGCUGGUCCUCCCAUCCGGCCACCAUGCUGGACCUCGUUCGGUUUUAACCAUUUUCUCUCCAUGGUGAAAGCACCCAUAGGGAUUCGGAGCACUCGCAAUUCGGACAUUGCUGAACCGCACUGCGCGCCCUACCGAACCGCUUGACACGCCCAACCAAACCGCAC